AUUGAACGCUGGCGGAAUGCUUUACACAUGCAAGUCGAACGGCAGCACGGGGGCAGCCCUGGUGGCGAGUGGCGAACGGGUGAGUAAUACAUCGGAACGUGCCCGGUCGUGGGGGAUAACGUAGCGAAAGUUACGCUAAUACCGCAUACGAUCUGAGGAUGAAAGCGGGGGACCUUCGGGCCUCGCGCGAUCGGAGCGGCCGAUGUCAGAUUAGGUAGUUGGUGGGGUAAAGGCCUACCAAGCCGACGAUCUGUAGCUGGUCUGAGAGGACGACCAGCCACACUGGGACUGAGACACGGCCCAGACUCCUACGGGAGGCAGCAGUGGGGAAUGUUGGACAAUGGGCGCAAGCCUGAUCCAGCCAUUCCGCGUGCAGGACGAAGGCCUUCGGGUUGUAAACUGCUUUUGUACGGAACGAAAAGGCUCUGGCUAAUACCUGGGGCUCAUGACGGUACCGGAAGAAUAAGCACCGGCUAACUACGUG
rnacentral:rRNA from 1 species